rnacentral:pre_miRNA from 1 species
CCAUCAGUUCAUCUCAUAUAUCGGUCUAGUCAUCUGAAGGUCUAGUCAUCUGAAGGAUAUAUGAGAUGAACUGAUGGAGUGUUCAGAUGACUAGACCGAUAUAUGAGAUGAACUGUUGGAG